rnacentral:rRNA from 1 species
AUAGCGUAUAUUAAAGUUGUUGCAGUUAAAAAGCUCGUAGUUGAAUUUUAGGCCUGGUUGGACGGUCUGCUCUAGGGUUUGUACUGUCCUGACUGGGUCUUACCUUCUGGUGAGCUGUCGUAUUGUUUACUCAGUGCGGCAGGGAACCAGGACUUUUACUUUGAAAAAAUUAGAGUGUUUAAAGCAGGCAUUCGCUUGAAUACAUUAGCAUGGAAUAAUAGAAUAGGACUUUGGUUCUAUUUUGUUGGUUUCUAGGACCGAAGUAAUGAUUAAUAGGGAUAGUUGGGGGCAUUAGUAUUUAAUUGUCAGAGGUGAAAUUCUUGGAUUUAUUAAAGACUAACUUCUG